AUGAACGCUGGCGGCGUGCCUAAUACAUGCAAGUCGAGCGAACGGACGAGAAGCUUGCUUCUCUGAUGUUAGCGACGGACGGGUGAGUAACACGUGGAUAACCUACCUAUAAGACUGGGAUAACUUCGGGAAACCGGAGCUAAUACCGGAUAAUAUUUUGAACCGCAUGGUUCAAAAGUGAAAGACGGUCUUGCUGUCACUUAUAGAUGGAUCCGCGCUGCAUUAGCUAGUUGGUAAGGUAACGGCUUACCAAGGCAACGAUGCAUAGCCGACCUGAGAGGGUGAUCGGCCACACUGGAACUGAGACACGGUCCAGACUCCUACGGGAGGCAGCAGUAGGGAAUCUUCCGCAAUGGGCGAAAGCCUGACGGAGCAACGCCGCGUGAGUGAUGAAGGUCUUCGGAUCGUAAAACUCUGUUAUUAGGGAAGAACAUAUGUGUAAGUAACUGUGCACAUCUUGACGGUACCUAAUCAGAAAGCCACGGCUAACUACGUG
rnacentral:rRNA from 1 species